GUGCCAGAAAGAGAACUAUACGAUGCAGAAGCCCGUAACUUCUAGGCACGACGGGUUGGCAUAUGCAACGGUAGAGGUUGAAGCUCGUGGCGUUGUGCACAAGGAAACACGGUCUGCUAAAGACAAGAAGCUGGCCGAGAGACUUGCCUGCAAAGCUGUUCUCAAAAGUCUCAAGGAAAGCGUGAUCCAAUCUUAACUUCAAUGUAUUUUUUAUGUUGAUGAAAAUUGAUGUAUAGUUAUAUAUCAUUUUUGAAGUGUAGGUAUAGAUAUAGUAUCUUUUUUGAAGUGUAGAGUUAAGUCUGUAAACAAUAGCAAGGUCGAGUUCAAAUGUACAAGAUUUUGCAGUGAUGUAUAUUGAUUUGGGUUUAUAAAAAAUAUGUUUAUGAGCUACUCGCAACCGUUGCAUAUUAAUGCAUUCUAACUAUAAAACAUUAGCAAGAUUAAAGUAUAAAAGUGAUAAAGUAGGAGAGAGAAGGUAAUAAAAGAGAUAAAGUAGAAAAGAGAAUGUAAUAAUUAUUACCUUAUUUGAAAAUGUGUCAAGAUUUAUAGGAUGACCCAAAAAAGAAAAUAUGUCAAGAUUCGUGGAUGGAUGAAGUACUUAUUUAAUUAACUUACAUUUGUACCAUACUUAGCUCAUGUAGGCUACUCAAUACCCAACAAAAUCUGACCAAUUCUUAUCAAACUCAUAAAAAAAGCCCAUUUUACUAUCUUUAAUAUUCCCUAAAGCCCAAUCAUCUAAAUAAAUUAAUUAAGAGCCCACAAGGAAUAAUAGCUCAAGUUGAAUUGAAUGUGUUAUAAUACAUGAAAUGAUGAAACACACAGUUUGGGACGAUUAUUUUUUUCGGGCAAAUUUUCUCUCUUCUUCUUUCAAUUAUUUUUUCCAACUUUCUUUCUCCUGACUAUUAAUUGUAUCAUACAUGUUUAUCUCUCUUCUCUUUUAAAUUUUUAUCUAUACUUCUACGGUUCUACCAAUCUUCUCUCUCUUUUUUAGAUACUUUUCUAAAAAUUGUCAAAUUAGAUUUAUAAAAAUAUCCAAAGAUAAAUGUAAACUAGGAGAACGAUUGUUUUAGUCUAAUUAGGGUGUUCGAUUGUCGAGAUUAAAUUAGCUUGAGAUUGGGUUGAUCCCAAAUUAAUUUUAUCAAAAGGGAUAAGCUAAAACUCAUAAGCCAAGACUAUUCUUAUAUGACAUUGUUCCAAAACUGAAUCAUGCACGAAUUAAUUUAAUCCAAUUCUAUCUGAUCUUUCACACCGAACGACCCUAACUAUUUAUGUUUGGUCUUCUCAAAUCUAAAGGACUCAAAAGCGAAAAUAAAAUAAAGCCAACAAUUUUUUUACUCAAAGUCCAGCAACUAUAAUUUGGCUCAAACUUAUUUUUUUUUUGAAGAUUUCCCAAAUCUUGAAUUCAAAGUUACUCUUUAAACUCCCCCCUUAAAGUUAUUCUUUAACAAGUUGAUUCAAAUAAAGUUAUGAUAAAUAAUUUUGAAUAACAUAUUCUGCAGAUUAUAGAAAAAGAAAAGAAAAGGUGUUGUUGAUACAUGUCCCCUUUUCUUUUGGUUGUAAAGAUGUCCAAUUGAGGUCAAUAUGGUUUCCAGCUAUUAUACGAAUUAACCAAAAAGAAAAAUAUACGAAUUAACCAAAAACGUCCAAUUGAGGUCAAUAUUUUUAGCUAGUAUUCGAGGGGUUCAAUAUGCAGGUCAUCCUUAAAUUUGUAUUGUGGUUUAAUUUCGUAAUUUUUUUUUAUUACUAUGACUUACUCAAAACUAGUUGGUUAUGAUUAUUGCUAUAAAUUUAUCAUAUUUAAACAAAGCUUUAUUUGUAAAAAAUUAUUUGCAUAUUAUAUUAUUUAUAUCCUUAUUAUAUGAAAGUAGUUGUUGCACCAAUGGAUAUCGUCAAAAAAUGUUUAGAAGACAAUACCAAGAACACAAUAGGAGCAUAAAUGUUAAAACGAACACCAGAGAUAUAUAUUUUUUUUCUUUUAUAAUUUAUAAAGUAUAACUUGUGAAUGCUUCAUGGCCAAAAAAAUCCACUAUUGGGAUGUAAAUUACAAAAAUAUAUAUUACCAUGAAUCCUAAUAUCACAAAGAAAUGAAAAAUCGAUUGAGAAAAAUAAUAUGAAAAAAUCACAUUCUCACAAAUAUCUUAAAACUAAACUAAACCAAUUAAGGGUAGCAAUGCAGGAAUAAUAGUAGUAAGGUCUCUAUGUUUUAUUUACUUACCAUUCUGAUUGCUAACUGACUAAAAUAACACUGUUUAAUCACAGUAUUUUUUGCUAUAAAUUAAUGAUCAAUAUUCACUAGAAACAAACAAUAGCGUGGCACAAUAUAUUAUAAUUAUGAGAAAUUCACCAAAAUUAUUAGGAUUUUAAUUUAACUAUUUCAUAGUUAUAUAAUGAUUAAUGAGUAGUUGACUAAUAUUUUUUCCUUCACAAAAAUUUUCUUUAUAAAUACUCCCUCCGUCCGCGAUAUCGUUUCCACAUUUGCCAUUUCGGUCCGUCCGCGAUAUCGUUUCCACAUCCAUUUAUAGAAGUAGGGUCCACAAACUUCCACUCACAACAAUAGUGGGAUCCAAACUCCACUCACUACAUAUCCACUACUAUCCACCACUUUUCUUAAAACCCGUGCCAUCCACAAUGUGGAAACAAUAUCGCGGACGGAGGGAGUAUGAAAUAGUUAAAUUAUGAGACCACAGCCGUUUCCUAUUUACUCCUAAAUUUAACUUUAGAAUUUUAAACAAAAUUCUGUCUCCGUGAUGUAUAGGAAACGGCUGUGGUGACUCAAAAAUUUGAUUUUGCUGCCAACUCUCUCUCUCAUUCUCUCUCUCUCUCUCUCUCUCUCUCAGUCUCUUGCCGCGCGAGGGGAGUACGUGUGAUCAUUGGUGGGUUUGGACUCUCUUUUGGUGCUUCACUUCACAUUCCUUCAACUCUCUCUCUCUCUCACACACACACACAACAGUCAUUAUCGUUUCAAAUAUAUAGUCAGAAUUUGGGCCCAUACUUUUUCAUCUUCUUUUGGACUGCAAUCCUUCCUUCCUCUCGAAGUUUUGACUCUUCAGUUACAUAAGUAAUAGUCUGUUGUGGGGUUUAUUUAGUGCGCCCGCCCGAACAUUUUUCCGAUCAAGUUUUUGCCUGUCUAGGUAUGAAAAAUUAUUGAUUCUGGGUUUGUUUCUUUUUCAUCGACAUUCUUGAUAUUCGGUGAUAUUGUGUUUGAUGAGAGUGGGGGUUUAAUGGGUUUGUUGUUUGUGUUUUGGGUGAACGCUUCUUUAUGGCAUGCCUUGUUUUCGAACUAAAUGCUGCUGUCAUGUACUAUAAAUGUGUUCUUCAUCACUUCUUUGGCUGUUUGAUGAAUUGGGUGUGGCCCAUUUAGUUAUUUAAAAUGUCACUAUUUGGAUUCAUCUACACGAGUUUCAUGAGUGAUUGCUGGCUUUAGUGGAAUAUGUAAAAUGAUACAUUUUGGAAUCUUGGUUGACAAUGUUUAUGCUUUCUGUUCACCUGCUUGGCUGUGACUGAAAUUGUAAAUUUUUGGUGAUUUACACUCAUUAUUGCAACUCUUGUGUUAUAUAGUAAAGAAGGAAAAUAAAGGUCUAUUGUGGGUAUUUGCAGGUUUCAGUUUCAUCCGAGGGAGGAGGAAGAGUGGGUUUGGCGCUAGCUUGAUUCUUAUUCUGUUAUAUAGUAAAGAAGGAACAGGAUUUCAUCCAAAAGUCUUCUGCCCUCGGGUGAACAAGUCUCCAAGAGAGCUCUUCCUGCGCCUGUUGAAAUCCGCGGUACCUAACGGAAUAGGCAACAAAGCAACUUUUUCAAUUAUUCAACCAUUUAAUUUUACUGAGUUCAUCAAGACUCAGGUAAGGUUUACUGAUUUGAUGCACUGGAAUUUUUUGGUUUCAGAGAGAGAUAGAGAGAAAGAACGAGGAUAUCAAUAUGAUUAUGGAUGAAGGAGACCAAAAACUUAUGGCAGAUCCUCUCUCAUUUGCCAGGAGGUAAUUGAUCUAUCCUGCUGUAUUCUCAGCGUGCAACCUUUGAUGCAAAAGCUACAAGAGAGAAGAAUGUUUUAUUGUUAUAAAGGCAUUUUAUGCACAUUUAUGUAUGUAUACACUAACAUAUCUAUGUGCGUACAUUCGUUGGCGAGACAUAGUUUAGUACUCACUGAAUCACAAUUGUAGCAGUUUGGUGACAGAGUCUGCCUAAUUGGAAAAGUUUCUUUACAAGUUUAAGUGCUAACAAAGAGUCGAAAGAAACUCAAAUUUAAGUUUAAGAUACUUCUGCCUUCCGUUUAUAUAGUUCUUUAUUUUGUUUGCAGUUAUCAGUUGGAAGCACUAGAGAUGGCUCUCAAAGAUAAUACAAUUGUUUUCUUUGAGACGGGCACCGGGAAGACCCUAAUUGCAAUAAUGCUUCUUCGCAGCUAUUCUCACCUUUUGAGAAAGCCGACACCUUAUAUUGCUGUGUUUUUGGUCCCUACUGUUGUCCUAGUUACUCAAGUAUGUAGUGUUUUAGUUUGGAUUCUUGUUUUAAUUAGAUAUGCUGAUAUUCUAGUUAUUUGCUUUUCUUUAGAGGUUGGUUAUAUCUUAAGGUGGUAGCCUUGGUAGAUUUUUUCAUUGUUUAAGGAGUUGGGAGUUGGGUUUGUACCAUUGCAAACAAGUUUAGGUGUCAAAAAAACAUAAACCCAACUUCCAAAUUGAGGAACCAGGUUCAACACAUUGAACGAGAGAGAGAGAGUGCAAAAUUUCUCUUUCUUGUCCUUUUCACUUCUUGUCUUUUUCUUUUUUCGUUUUUUCUUUUUUUUCCUAGAAUAACGAAAAAUAGACAAUAAUAAAAAAUUUAAUAUACAUAUCAAAUUAAAGAGUUUAAGAGUUUCUCUCUCCUCUUGUAAAAUACAUUUCUCUCUUCUCUUUCCACCUUUUAAAGGUAGACCCCUGGGGGUCAAAUUCCUUUUGUAAAGAGUUUAAAGGUAGACACCCAGGGGUUUAUUGUUGUUACUAUUUAGAGCGGAAAUUCAGUUAAGUUACUAUUUAGAGCGGAAAUUCAGUUAAAUUGGUAGGACCCUCAAUGAAGUUGCUUUUGUAGGUUUAUUGUUGCAGAGAUAGAUUUAUAAAAGUUGGUAGGUUCAAACUUUUGAUGUGGCGUUGAUGUGGAGCUGUUAAAGUUACUUUUGUGGGUUUAUUGUUGCUACCACCCUUAGGUUGCUUAAGUUGUUCAGAGAUACAUUUUAUUUUAAUUUUAUUUUAUUUUUCACACUUUCUUGCGUCCAUGGUUUCAUUUUGUAUAUCACAAAGGCCCUUAAUAUAUCAGGCAUCUGUAUGGCCUUCCCGUUAUCAACUUGUAUUAUUACAUGGUGCUGUCUUGAUCUUGAAGUUAGUCAUUUCUAUGAUUAUCAGCAAUCUGAAGUUGUGGCCCUACAUACGGACCUCAAAGUGGGAAAGUAUUAUGGGGAGAUGGGUGUUGACUUCUGGGACGAGGCAACAUGGAAGCGGGAGGUGAAUAAAUAUGAGGUUUGUUUGACUCACUCUUUUUAUAUUAUAACUGUUUAUGUAUUAUAUUACCAUGUAUUAUAAAUCUUACUUGUAGUUGGUUAUUUAGUUACACUUUCCAUGUUGGUUAAUAUCGUCUUAUGGAUUUUAGAAGUUUUAACACAUGGUGAUACUUCUUAGUUACAGAGUUUUACGGAGAUUUUAUAUAUUCUUUGGAUGUUAGCCAGAGAAUACAAAGGUUACUGGAUAACAACAUCUUACGAGUAAAAUGAUGUUUCAUAAGAUCCACACCAAGUUUUUGAGGUUUGAAUUGAAUUAGAUAGCCGAGCUUUUUGCACUACAGAGUGCAUAUAUGUAGUCCUAAUUGAUAAAACAUAAGUUCUGUUGUUCUAAUGUAUGAUUUGUCAAUUAAGUUGUUGCAAAUGUCUCUACAACAGUAAAAUGAAUAUUAGAGUUUUUGAAAUUCCUCUAGUUAAAUUGCAUACUUAAAACUGAAGAUAUGACAUCACAUUACUUGCAAAAAUGUGAAUUUUGAAGAGAAGUUAAACUAGUGUGUUGCUUUAUUUACUUACGAAAGAAUUAUCUUCUUGUGACCUAAAAUAAUACAUACCAUUUUCCAGGUGCUUGUAAUGACACCACAAAUCUUGCUUAUGCAUUGACGCGCACAUUUUUGAGGUUGGACCAAAUUAAGGUUCUAAUAUUCGAUGAAUGCCAUAAUGCGAGAGGCAAGCAUCAAUAUGCUUGCAUUAUGACGGUACAAUGAAAAUAACUUUUUUUCUAUUCUAUAUAAAUAUGCGUAUAUACUCAAUAAAGUGGUAUGCUUUAUUUUAAGAGUUAUGUGGCCAUCUUAGAUCAUGUAUAUCCUGAACUACUGAGAAAAAAGAAUGCACAUCUAACCAAUACUGGUUUCUAUCAUUAGAAUAAGUACUUGUAAUUAUAAAAAAAUAUGCUUUAGAUUGUUACCAGCCUCUCUUUGGUAUAUAUAAGGUGCAUUUUUUAUAUUUAAAUGUAUAUUAAUGUAAGAGAAUACACAAAUUUGCAGGAGUUCUAUCACAGGGAGUUAGCCUCAAAGAGUAGGCAGCUUCCCAGAGUAUUUGGGAUGACUGCUUCCCCUAUAAAGGCUAAAGGUUAGUCCAAUGAAACAAUAUACGAUAGUUUUAGUGGAGUUGGCUGUCAUUUUAAUAAUCUGUGUCCCUCCCUUUUCUUUUUGCGUACAGCAUCAUCUUCAGCAGAAGCCUACUGGAAACAGAUAAAUGAGCUCGAAAACCUCAUGCAUUCAAAGGUUGUAAGAUGAUAUCUUGGAUUUAUAUGCUAAAAAUGAAUGUAGACGGUAUGUAAGUAAUGUUGAACCAUCUGUUUACCAUAUAAUGUAGCCAAUAAAGUUUGUCACAGUUUCAAUAAUGAGAUUGAUUGCCCAGUAUUUACCAUUUAUGCUAUCAGUAUAUUUGCAUAGAGUGUUGAAAUAUACUUUUAUGGCAAAUAGGGUGGGAUGGUUGCCUUUGUGUUACGAUAGGACUGGCUAAGUUACUAACUGUGUUUUAGUUUGUGUUCUCUUAUUUCUAACUAAUAAUUUGAUAAAAUCUUCAUUUGGCUAUGUUAUGCUUAUACCAUGGUAACUGAUUGUCAUGUUCUUAUGUGUAAGGUUUUCACAUGUGAAUCGGAUGCUAUUUUAGCUCAGUAUAUUCCAUUUUCAACUCCAAAAUUGAAGAAGUACAGUGAAAAGGAUAAUCCCAUGAUUCUCGAAACCCUGGAAGAAGAUUUGCAGAAAUUGGCAGAUAAGGUACUUGUAGCUGAAAUCUCCUGUUGUAAGUAAAUAUUGUGAUUUUGAUGUGCUCAAUUGGAUGUUAACCUAAUUAUAGACUCUCAUUCGUUCUAGUAUGUGUGCUUUUGCGAUGGAUGUGGUAUCUUCGCUCUAUAUUCUAACUUGAAGGAACUUAAGUGCAUGCACACGUGUGUAUUUUCAGUUUCACAUGGCGUCGUUUCUAAUUUGAUCAAAGCUAACAUAUCCUUUGAGUUUGCAUUCUAAUGUCAUUCCACUGACUAUAUCUUACUUGUCAUCAGCAUGUAUCUGCCCUAAACAGGUCGAGUAUUUCACACUCUGUGGCAGAAUCUGCGAAGGACAAACUAAAGAAGGUUUUGUCCACAAUUACGUUUUGUUUGACUGACCUGGGGAUUUGGUUAGCUGUGAAGGUAUAUUUAUUUGAUGUACGUGCAGAAAUCUAAAACUAUGCCGGUUGGCUGAAUUUUUAUGUUAUGAAAUAGGCAGCAGAAGUUUACUCUCGUGACAAUGGGACCAUCUUUAUGUGGGCUGAGAUGGAUACAUGUGGAGAGAGAGUUGUGAAGGCUUUCAGUUCUGAUGCAUUACAAUUCUUGUGUGCAUGCAUUCCAACUGGUACAUCUCUAUUUCAGCAAUUGAGCUGAACUUUUUGUUUUUUUCUGGCUCACCUCUGAAGGCCUUGUUGUAUUGUUCGUGAUUAUUCUCUUGGCAUGUUUUUAGGUCCUAAGUGGUUGAUACCUAAUGAUCUAAGAGCAAACGUGACGAGUGGUUAUCUUACGUCAAAAAUCACAUGUCUUGUUGAGACCCUUCUGGAGUACAGGUUUUGAUAACUAUUGCACAUACUGAAAUUUUAGAUCUGCCAUGUUCAGAUUAUUUCUAAUUGUGAAUCAUCAACUAUGUUUGUGAUACAAUUAUUCAUGUAUUUCAGGUUCUGUUAUUAUUAUUAUUAUAUAUGGAUAUGGAUGAUUUUUUGAGAGUUUUUUAUUAACGGGUGCAGAGAACUGAAGGAUUUGAGGUGUAUAGUAUUUGUUGAGAGGAUUGUCACUGCAAUUGUUAUUCGCAGUCUGUUGAAUGAAUUGCUUCCAGAAGUAACUGGGUGGAGGACAGAAUACACGGCUGGGCAUGCUUCGCGAUUUCAGUCUCAGAGUAGGAGAGAUCAACAAAAAAUUGUUGAUGAAUUCCGAAAGGGAACUGUACGAUUUGAAAUUUCGUUUUUGAUUUAUCAUUGCAAUUUGGAAUUUUAUUGGCCAUAUUGGCUUUCACUAUUAGGUUGGCAUCUUGAGUAUUGAUGCUGUCCUUUGCAUGACAUGAUUUCAGGUAAAUAUAAUCAUUGCCACCUCUAUGCUCGAAGAGGGUUUAGACGUCCAGACAUGCAACCUGGUCAUUAGAUUUGACCCUUCUGCCACCAUAUGCAGUUUUAUCCAAUCCCGUGGCCGUGCACGAAUGCAGAACUCAGAUUUCGUGCUAAUGGUGAAAAGGUUAGCUGCUUCUUUUAAGACACAAAGAAAAAUUCUUAUUGCUGUUUGUUUUUCUCCUUUUCUUCUUUGCUCAUAUAAAUUGACUUUUCUCUUCUUUGUGGUCUGGUCUCAUAAACUAACGAAAGAUAGGAGAAUUGUUAAUGUGAAAAUGGUGCUGAUUUUUAUAUUAAUAAAUGGUCUUUUCUGCAAGCUGCAGUGAUGAUCUUUCAGCCAUUGCUCGUGUAAAACUAUUUGGCUAGUGGAAGUAUGAUGCGGCAGGAGUGUUUGAGCCAUGCCGUCAUCCAUGUGAACCACUGGGUAAAGAAAUGAUGGCGAGCCUGGUAUGAAGUUAGAGUACAGGAGCACUUGUUACUUUGAGUUCAAGUGUGGCGUUGCUUUACUUUUAUUGUUCACGGCUGCCCUCAGACAGGUUUGCUCUUGCCAAUUUUAUUAAUCAUUUUGUAAAUCUUUGAGUAAUUUUAUUAAUCAUUUUGUAAAUCUUCGACAUUUUGUAAAUCUCUGAGUUUAUGCCAAGUGAAAUUCCUUCAGAAUCUCAUGUGGAUGUGGCACAUGGUUCAAUUAUUACGAAUAGGAAACACAAUGAAGCGUAUUUGAUUUUUGCUUUCUUGUUCUUGAUUACACAGGUACUUAACCUAUCCUGUCUGUAAUGUUGAUAAAGUGCUGGGAAGUUGUACACUUCAACUUCCUCAUGGCUGCCCAGUUCGAACUAUUACAGUCUCUGGGACAAAAUCACUGAAGCAACUCGCAUGCCUCGAAGCUUGCAAAGAGCUUCAUCGAGUCCGUGCUCUGACAGACAACCUUGUCCCUGAUAUGGUGGAGGAAGAGAAGGAGCCUCAAGAAUUUGGUACUUUUCAANAUAUUAAGUUGGAUUCCAUUUGAAAUCCCUUUUGUUAUGCCAUGUAUUCUGUGACUAAAGAAGAUGGUUGGCAUCUUUAGUUUUACACUUUCACUGAGUAAUCGAAACUGAAUGUACAGGCUAUGGUUGGCAUCUUUAGUUUUACACACUGAGUAAUCGAAACUGAAUGUACAGGCUAUGNCCUUUACUAAUGUAACUUCAUAAGUAUAGACAAACAGGGACGGAGUCCAGGAAGUUAAGUUCGGGGGGAGGGGGGGUGGAACUUGUGCGGGGUUCGGGGCGGCAACCCCGAGAAAUUUUUUUGGGGUCAUUCUGUAUAUUUAAGGAUUUUUUUUAUUAAAAUACGAGCAUAAUACUAAUAAUAACGAACAAUAUUUUCAUAGAUUAUAUAGUUUAAUAUAUCACAAAAACUUUUUUUGGACAUUCUGUAUAUUUAAGAUAUUUUUUAUUAAAAAGGCAAGCAUAAUAAUAAUAAUAACAAACAACAUGUUCAUAGAUUAUAUAUUUUCUAUAUAUUACAAAUUAGUUUCAAUACAUUAUAAUUUUUUUUAGCAUUUCAUACAUAUUAGGCAUUUUUUUAUUAAAAGACAAGUAUAAUAGUAAUAAUAACAAACAAUAUUUCAUAGAUUAUAUAGUUUUAAAUAACAGAAUUAUCCUUAAAUUAAGUAUAUAUGAGAGAAUAUAAUAACCAAAUACUCUUUUAUAAAACAAAAUUAUUUUAUUAUAGGUAUAAACAUAAAUCUAUAUAUAUAUAUAUAUAUAUAUAUAUAUAUAAAAAAACUCAGAAUUUGGAGGGGGUCUAGCCCCCCUAGCCCCCCUGCUUCCGUCCCUGGACACAAGUAUUCAGAAAAAGAAGAGAAAAAAUCAGGGAUGCGUCAGAUUGACUUAUCGCUGCAUUCGAUGAUGUAAGAGAUUGGGGGCCUUUCUUUGCCAUCAAAAUUUGACAUCCCUCUCUAGCUGAGGCAAGAAGUAGUUCUCAACUAUCUUCACUUACCCCAAGAUGUUCUCUCUCCAUCAGAAUAACACUGUCUACAUCGGAUAUGCCAAGCUUUUCCACUACUGAUUUCAAGCUAAAUUUGAGAAAAUCAGCUGCAGUAUCUUCAAGCAUGUGGUUGGCAAGGCUUGAGACACGAAAAUUUCAAAGCUCUUAAACUAGUCCUCUCUCGAAGAACAUUCAAUGUCUUGAUGGAAAAUAAGUAUCCGCAUAUAUUCCAAAAUGAUCAAUUAGUAAACAUGUAUGCAUCACUAGUAAUAUUGAAGGAAGUAAUGAUUAUACUUACUUUAUCAGAAGCCACUUGUGUAAUAAGCCUUGCCCAGUCAUCUUCCGUGUGCACAGAACACAAUCCAUGGUAUUUGAAAAUUAGGAGAUCCUCAUGGUGAUCUUCAUCUUUGCGUACAAUAUCAGCGAUAUUUAUUCUCGUACAGAACCAAGCCUACAAUAACAUUGUAAUUAAAAAUAUAAAAUAUGUAACUGAAAAUAACCGAAACAAAUAAGUACCACAAGUAACGGUCUCAUGUAUCCGAUUUGUGCAAUGGGCUAUUGUUCUUUGACAUUUUUUUGUAAGUUUGUAAAUAUUCUUCCAUAACACUCAUGGGGAUAGUCCAUAGUACUCAAAAAAUUAUACCCUGCAAAGGUAAAAUAAAAAUAGGAUUGCAAACAUCAGUGACACAUGCAUAACAGUAUUGCAAAGCACCAAGCAACCCUGCACAGCACAAAAGCAACACUGCAAAAACGCAAUAAGUCUAUACUUACAUUAUCAUAAGCCACUUGUGUAAUAAGGCUUGCCCAGUCAUCUUCCGUGUGCACAGAACACAAUCCAUGGUAUUUGAAAAUCGUGAGAUCCUCAUGGUGAUCUUCAUCUUUGCGUACAAUAUCAGCGAUAUUUGUUCUCAUACAGAACCAAGUCUACAAUAACAUUGUAAUUAAAAAUAUAAAAUAUGUAACUAAAAGUAUCCAAAACACAUAAGUACCUCAAGUAAUGGUCCCAUGCAUCCGAUUUGUGCAAUGGGCUUUUGUUUUUUGAUAUUUUUAUUGUAACUUACCGGUAACUCUUGUAAAUUACAGGUAAUUUUAAAUAAGUUGUAAGUUACCGGUAACUCAUGUAUGUUACCGAUAAUUUAUGUAACUUACCGGUAAAUCUUGUAAAUUAUCGGUAAUUUUAAGUAAGUUGUAAGUUACCGGUAAUUUAUUAACUUACCGAUAACUCGUGUAAAUUAGCUAUAAAUCUUUGUUCGAUUUCUUAAAAUCGUGCGGGGAAGAAUUGUCAAGUAAAUACAUUUUUCGGUUUGUUUAAACAUUGAACGAAAUUUCUCACUUCACACGCCACCUUGUGUAUCAUCCAAUGAGAGAUUAAAUUGUUCGAUUUCUUGAAAUCGUGCGGGGAGCUAACAAUUAAUGCAUAUCAAUGAUCUCUCAUGUGGCACAUAGUUCAAUUAUUUACAAAUAGGAAACACAAUGAAGCGUAUUUGUUUCUUUGCUUUCUUGUUCUUGACUUACACAGGUACUUCAAACCGUAUCCUCUUUGUAUCGGGUCAUUGAUUGGGUGUUUAAUGAUUAAAAGAAUAAAAUUAUGUAAUAGUUUAAAUUAUACCUUAUUUAAAUGAAAUAUUCAAAUUUUAUAAAUUAGUGUACAACAAUAACCAUAAGCUGUAAAUAAAUUAAAAAUUACUCAUUUACGUUACGAACUAAACGAUAUAUUAGGGUCGUUUGUUACACUAUUUAAACAACUAAUUAUUAACAAGAUCCUCCAAUUACUCCUUGUAUACAUUGGACUUCUCAAAUGAAGAGCCCCAUUGUUCUUGAGCAAUUUCAAGCUCGGCCACUAAACCCAAAAUUAUAAGAACAGUACAGCGACAUUCUCACGAUUACAAAAGACAUCGCAAAUAUUCAUGACAGAAAUAAAAAAGCAUCCAUGUAAAAGUAUUUGGUUCAUACAUGCCACAAAUAAAAAUAUUAUUUGUUCACUUGAAAAAGCUGACCAACCACUCAUUUAUUUCUCCUACCAUAUUUAAUCACGUUACUUGGAUCCAAAUGCUUAUUAAUACCCAAAUGUUUUUGUUUCUUUGUGCCAUCUUUUGGUUGCUCACCUCUACUACGCUUCAGAUUCUCAUCCAUGGAAUGGCUUGUGUUCUGCUGGGGUGACCCAAGAGAGACACAACUAUUCAGAAAAAGAAGAAGAGAAAAAACAGGGAUGUGAGAGAUUGACUUACCGCUGCAUUCAAUGAUGUGAGAGAUUGGGAGCCUUUCUUUGCCAUCAAAAUUUGACAUUCCUCUCUAGUUGAAGCAAAAAGUAGUUCCCAACUAUCUUCACUUACCCCAAGAUGUUCUCUCCCCAUCAUAAUAACACUGUCUACAUCGGAUAUGCCAUGCUUUUCCACUACCGAUUUCAAGCUAAAUUUGAGAAAAUCAACUGCAAUAUCUUCAAGCAUGUGGUUGGCAAGGCGCUCAUGCACAGUCAUUGAGACACGAAAAUUUUCAAGGCUCUUAAACUAGUUCUCUCUUGAAGAACAUUAAUUGUCUUAUAUGCAAUUAAGUAUUUGCAUAUGUUCCAAAAUGAUCAAUUAGUAAACAUGCAUGCAUCACUCGUAAUAUUGAAGGAAGUAAUGAUUAUAUUUACUUUAUCAGAAGCCACUUGUGUAAUAAGGCUUGCCCAGUCUUCUUCCGUGUGCAAAGAACACAAUCCAUAGUAUUUGAAAAUUGGGAGAUCCUCAUGCUGAUCUUCAUCUUUGCGUGCAAUAUCAGCGAUAUUUAUUCUCAUACAGAACCAAGCCUACAAUAACAUUGUAUUUAAAAAUAUAAAAUACGUAACCGGAAAUAACGAAAACACAUAAGUACCUUAAGUAAUGGUCCCAUGCAUCUGAUUUGUGCAAUGGGCUUUUGUUCUUUGACAUUUUUUUUGCAACUUACCGAUAAAUCUUGUAAAUUACCGGUAAUUUUAAGUAAAUUGUAAGUUACCGGUAACUCAUGUAAGUUACCGGUAAUUUAUGUAACUUACUCGUAACUCUUGUAAAUUACCGGUAAUUUUAAGUAAGUUGUAAGUUACCGGUAAUUUUAAGUAAAUCUUAUAAACGGCGGCGCAAAAAUUGCAAAAUCUGUUGUCGGACCUUGUGGUCGGAGAAUCGAAGCAAAAAUCGUAGGAAAAUUUUCUUUUCACAAUAUUGAGAGAGGCGGACAGGAAGAGAAGAGAAGGAGAGAGAAGAAGCUUGUGAACAGUAACCCUAAUAGCUAUUUAUAUUCCGGGUCAAGGUGCCGAAUCAAGUCUCUCGCGGGUCUGGGUCGGACCCGCGCAUAGCAUGCGGCGGGUCGCAUAGGAGACCGACUGCUGAUCGAUAAUUUGUCCAAUUUAAGCAUAGCAUGCCGUGGGUCGCAUAGGAGACCGACUGCUGAUCGAUGAUUUUGUCCAAUUUAAGCAAGGCAAAAACUAGCAUUUGUCCAAUUUAAGCAAAGCAAAAACUUGUUCUUGCUACUUCUCCAUUUAACAAAAAUGAAAAGAAACUGUAAAGUAAAUCGACGAAGAAAUUGCGAUGAACACAAAAGAUUUACGUGGUUCGGGCUGAAACCCUACAUCUACGGGACCAAGAAAAGGAGCUUCUUUUAUUGAUUCGCGAACUGAGAAUUUUACAAGGUGUUACAAGUGUUGACUGGUGUUACUUUUACAUUAGACACCCAAUUGCUCAUUAUAUAGCAAGCUUUGAAAAUAACGAGCUGUAAACAACCAUCAAAGAAACCGUUAUGCAAAACAGUUAGCUCUGCAAAAGAAACUUUGACUCUGUCUCUGGAGUGUUGACUCUGCCUUGGCAACUCUGACUCUGAUAUGUCUCGGCUCUGACUCUGGCAUCAGCGCGACCUCUCUGCUCUGCCAGCGGCGCGAUCUCUCUGCUCUGGUAGAAGACCGAUUCCUCUGACGAACCGAUUCCUCUGGCGAACCGAGUCCUCUGGUCUGCCAGCAGCGAAUCCUCUGACGAACCGAUUCCUCUGGUCUGCCAGCAGCGAUUCCUCUGCUCUGGCAACUUCACCAGAGUAAACUUUACAACUCCAGAGUAUACAAACUAGAUUAUAAGCUUACAAAAUCAUAUACAACAAAUCUCCACCUGAUUUCUAAGCUAAUAAUCGACAACAAUAACAAAGGCUCCAGUUCUUUCUCCGAAACAUUUUAAUUCUAUAUCAAACUUCAAAUCAGCAGAUUUACCAACUUAAGACAAUGCUCAAACUUAGCAGUAGGCAAAGCCUUAGUCAGCGCAUCAGCUGCAUUCUCCUCUGUCCCAACUUUUUCCAUCUUCACCAGUCCUUGAUCAACUAUAUCCCUUAUGAAAUGCAUUCUGACAUCUAUGUGCUUAGAUCUCUCAUGAAAAGUUUGAUGUUUUAUAAGAUAGAAAGCACUCUGACUGUCACACUUCAAAGUUACAGAACUUUCCUCAAUACCAAAAUCGUGCACUAAUCCUUUGAGCCACACAGCUUUUUUGACAGCUUCGGUUGCAGCCAUGUACUCUGCUUCAGUGGUUGAUAAUGCAACUACAGAUUGUAAUGAAGAUUUCCAACUAACAGCUGAUCCAAAGAGUGUGAAAAUGUAACCUGACUGAGAUCUCCUGUUGUCUGUGUUAGCAGCAUAGUCAGAGUCAGUGUAUCCCAUCAAGAAAGGCUUGCUGAUGUCUUCCUUCCUCUGGAACAAAACAGCUCUGUCUGCAUUGCCCUUUAAGUACCUCAGCACCUUCUUGAGAGCUUCCCAAUGCUCUCUACCAGGAUCCACCAUAUACCUGCUCAUAACACUUAUAGCUUGUGCAAUGUCUGGCCUAGUGCAGACCAUUGUGUACAUCAAGCUUCCCACUAAAUUUGAGUAAGGUAUAUUUAUCAUUUGGUGUCUCUCUGUGUCAUUCUUUGGUUUCUGUUUAUCUGAGAGUUGCAGAUGAACAGCUAGGGGCACUGUAACAGCCUUUGAUUCAUGCAUAUUGAAUUUCCUUAACAUCUUCAAUAUGUAAUCUUUUUGACAUAACCAUAGCUUUCCAGCCUUCUUGUCUCUCACGAUAUCCAUCCCAAGAAUCCUUUUGGCUGCACCAAGAUCUUUCAUUUCAAACUCUUGAUUCAAACCAUAUUUGAUUACCUUGAUUUCAGCCUUAUCUUUGCUAGCUAUUAACAUGUCAUCUACAUAUAGCAGCAAAUAUGCAACAGUAACUUCAUCCUUUCUUCAAUAAACGCAGCUAUCAUAUGCAGACUUUGUGAAUCCCAUCAACUCCAUAUGCUCAUCAAACCUUUUGUACCAUUGCCUUGAACUCUGUUUGAGACCAUAUAAGCUUUUCUGAAGUAAACACACCUUGUUGCUUGUCUCUGGAUGUACAAACCCCUCAGGCUGGACCAUAUGGAUCUUCUCCUCCAACUCUCCAUGUAGAAAUGCGGUUUUAACAUCCAUCUGCUCAAGCUCCAUAUCAAACUGAGCUACAACUGACAGCAUAACUCUGAUGGAAGUAUGCUUAACCACAGGUGAGAAUACUUCAUUAUAAUCAAUUCCCUCCUUUUGAGUGAAACCUCUUGCCACCAAUCUUGCUUUGUACCUGGUCUGCUCCUUCCCAAUAACCUCAAUCUUCUUCUUGAAGAUCCAUUUGCAGCUUACUAUUUCUUGUUCAGUGGCUUUGACACCAGUAUCCAGGUACCAUUCCUUUCAAGAGAGUUCAUCUUCUCCUUCAUGGCUAAGAGCCAUUGUUCUCUCUCUGGUCCCUUCAUAGCCUCUGCAUAGGAUUUGGGCUCCUGAUACUCCAGCUACCUCUGCAAUGCUCAAAGCAAAGUAUACCAUCUCAGCUUGGUUAUAUCUCUGAGGUGGCUUGGGCUGCCUCCUUGCUCGAUCCCUUGCUAGUUGGUAUGAGCUUAGAUUAUCAGAGCUGCUCCCAACAUCUUCAUCAUCUGCAGCUUGUUGAGAGACUUCAGUUGCUCCACCUGAUUCAUUAUCAGCAUGGUUUCUAUCAAACAAUUCAUCCAACAGAAUUUUACCAUCUGCUAUUUUUCUUCUAUGGAUCAGAUCCUACUUUAUAAGGCAUGAGAGCUUUCAUACAAAAACUACAUCUCUGCUGAUGUAUACUCUCCCCAUUCCUGGUUCAGUGCACCACAACUUGUACCCCUUCACACCCUUGGGGUAGCCCAACAUCACACUAUUUUAAGGCCCUUGGUUCAAGCUUCUCUUGUCUGACAUGUAUGUAUGCUCUGCACCCAAAGGUCUUCAAAUGUGAAUAGUUGGAUGUAGAACUAUACCAGAGCUCAUCUGGAAUUCUGAAUUCAAUAGCGGAUGAAGGAGAUUUGUUGAUCAAAUAGGCUGCAGUGACAGCAGCCUCUGCCUAGAAUUUCUUUGGCAUCCCUGAGUCAAACAACAUACACCUUAUCCUUUCCAGAAUGGUCCUAUUCAUCCUCUCAACAACCCCAUUCUGCUGUGGAGUUCCUGGGACUGUCUUGUGUCUCUGGAUUCCCCUUCCAGAACAGAAAUCAUUGAAUUCCUUGGNUAGCCUGCAAAGCUGUUCUCAAAAGUCUCAAGGAAAGCGUGGCUGCAGGUUCUUGAUCCAAUCCUAACUUCAAUGUAUUUUUUAUGUUGAUGAGAAUUUGUGUAUAGUUAUAUAUCAUUUUUGAAGUGUGGGUAUAGAUAUAGUAUCUUUUUUGAAGUGUAGAGUUAAGUCUGUAAACAACAGCAAGGUCGAGUUCAAAUUUACAAGAUUUUGCAGUGAUGUAUAUUGAUUUGGGUUUAUAAAAAAUUUGUUUAUGAGCUACUCGCA
rnacentral:lncRNA from 1 species